rnacentral:tRNA from 3 species
GGAGAGUUGCCAGAGCGGACGAAUGGGACGGUCUCGAAAACCGUUGAAUGCGCAAGCAUUCCAAGGGUUCGAAUCCCUUACUCUCCGCCA